UACGUAGGGAGCGAGCGUUGUCCGGAUUUACUGGGUGUAAAGGGUGCGUAGGCGGGAAAGCAAGUCAGGUGUGAAAUACCGGGGCUCAACUCCGGGGCUGCGCUUGAAACUGUUUUUCUUGAGUGAAGUAGAGGCAGGCGGAAUUCCUAGUGUAGCGGUGGAAUGCGUAGAUAUUAGGAGGAACACCAGUGGCGAAGGCGGCCUGCUGGGCUUUAACUGACGCUGAGGCACGAAAGCAUGGGGAGCAAACAGG
rnacentral:rRNA from 1 species